UACGGGGGGGGCAAGCGUUGUUCGGAAUUACUGGGCGUAAAGGGCUCGUAGGCGGCCAACUAAGUCAGACGUGAAAUCCCUCGGCUUAACCGGGGAACUGCGUCUGAUACUGGAUGGCUGGAGGCUGGUAGGGGCAAGCGGAAUUCCUGGUGUAGCGGUGAAAUGCGCAGAUAUCAGGAGGAACACCGGUGGCGAAGGCGGCUUGCUGGGCCAGUUCUGACGCUGAGGAGCGAAAGCGUGGGGAGCGAACAGG
rnacentral:rRNA from 1 species